rnacentral:rRNA from 1 species
UACGGAGGGUGCAAGCGUUGCUCGGAAUUAUUGGGCGUAAAGGGUAGGUAGGUGGUCUUAUUUGUCUGGGGUGAAAGCCUUGAGCUUUACUCAAGAAGUGCCCCAGAAACGGUAAGACUAGAGUCCUAGAGAGGGUCGUGGAAUUCCCGGUGUAGCGGUGAAAUGCGUAGAGAUCGGGAGGAACACCAGAGGCGAAGGCGGCGACCUGGAUAGGUACUGACACUCAACUACGAAAGCGUGGGGAGCAAACAGG